GAUUACGCCAGGGGAAGGUAUUAGCACCACUCACGUCUGUUGUACUCAAUCAGAACCUUUUAGUCUAAUUUGUGAUGUGAAUAUUAGCUAAUGUUAUUUUUUUUCUUCGCGUGAAUAAAAGAUUGAAAAUAGAAAAGAAAGGAAACCUCUAAAGGGGGAAAUGCAGGGUUUUUAUUAGUGUUCUCGUCAAGAUCUCGCAAUCUCGUGCCUACGUAUCCUU
rnacentral:lncRNA from 1 species